GAGAAUUUUGGUCGGUCGCGAGACCUUCCUAAUACUUUAUUCCAUAAACACCUGUGCACCUUUUUUUGGAUGUCGUUAGCUACUAGUUUACUUGUAAACGAACGCAACUUCGUCUGAAACACACUACAAACAUAAAUAGUCUUUGAAUGUAAUACAAAUUGUAACAAAAAUA
rnacentral:misc_RNA from 1 species